rnacentral:rRNA from 1 species
GUGACCUCAAAUCAGGUAGGACUACCCGCUGAACUUAAGCAUAUCAAUAAGCGGAGGAAAAGAAACUAACAAGGAUUCCCCUAGUAACUGCGAGUGAAGCGGGAAAAGCUCAAAUUUAAAAUCUGGCGGUCUUUUGGCUGUCCGAGUUGUAAUCUAGAGAAGUGUUAUCCGCGCUGGACCGUGUACAAGUCUCCUGGAAUGGAGCAUCAUAGAGGGUGAGAAUCCCGUCUUUGACAUGGACUGCCAGGGCUUUGUGAUGCGCUCUCAAAGAGUCGAGUUGUUUGGGAAUGCAGCUCAAAAUGGGUGGUAAAUUCCAUCUAAAGCUAAAUAUUGGCGAGAGACCGAUAGCGAACAAGUACCGUGAGGGAAAGAUGAAAAGAACUUUGGAAAGAGAGUUAAACAGUACGUGAAAUUGCUGAAAGGGAAACGCUUGAAGUCAGUCGCGUCAUCCAGGGAUCAACCUUGCUUUUGCUUGGUGCACUUUCUGGUUUGAUGGGUCAGCAUCAAUUUCGACUAUUGGAAAAAGGCUCUAGGGAAUGUGGCAUCUUUGGAUGUGUUAUAGCCCUWGGUCGUAUACAAUGGUUGGGAUUGAGGAACUCAGCACGCCGCAAGGCCGGGUUUUUAACCACGUACGUGCUUAGGAUGCUGGCAAAAUGGCUUUAAUCGACCCGUC